rnacentral:rRNA from 1 species
CUCCAGACUCCUACGGGAGGCAGCAGUGGGGGAUAUUGCACAAUGGGGGGAACCCUGAUGCAGCGACGCCGCGUGGGUGAAGGAGCGUUUCGGCGCGUAAAGCCCUAUCGGCAGGGAAGAAGGAGGACGGUACCUGACUAAGAAGCCCCGGCUAACUACGUGCCAGCAGCCGCGGUAAUACGUAGGGGGCAAGCGUUAUCCGGAUUUACUGGGUGUAAAGGGAGCGUAGGCGGUUAGAUAAGUCUGAUGUGAAAGCCCACAGCUUGACUGUGGGAUUGCAUUGGAAACUAUAGAACUAGAGUGUCGGAGAGGUAAGUGGAAUUCCUAGUGUAGCGGUGAAAUGCGUAGAUAUUAGGAGGAACACCAGUGGCGAAGGCGGCUUAUUGGACGAUGACUGACGCUGAGGCUCGAAAGCGUGGGGAGCAAACAGGAUUAGAUACCCUGGUAAC